rnacentral:rRNA from 1 species
ACGAACGCUGGCGGCGUGCUUAACACAUGCAAGUCGAACGGAAAGGCCCUGCUUUUGUGGGGUGCUCGAGUGGCGAACGGGUGAGUAACACGUGAGUAACCUGCCCUUGACUUUGGGAUAACUUCAGGAAACUGGGGCUAAUACCGGAUAGGAGCUCCUGCUGCAUGGUGGGGGUUGGAAAGUUUCGGCGGUUGGGGAUGGACUCGCGGCUUAUCAGCUUGUUGGUGGGGUAGUGGCUUACCAAGGCUUUGACGGGUAGCCGGCCUGAGAGGGUGACCGGCCACAUUGGGACUGAGAUACGGCCCAGACUCCUACGGGAGGCAGCAGUGGGGAAUAUUGCACAAUGGGCGGAAGCCUGAUGCAGCGACGCCGCGUGAGGGAUGACGGCCUUCGGGUUGUAAACCUCUUUCAGCAGGGACGAAGCGUAAGUGACGGUACCUGCAGAAGAAGCACCGGCUAACUAUGUGCCAGCAGCCGCGGUGAUACGUAGGGUGCGAGCGUUGUCCGGAAUUACUGGGCGUAAAGAGCUCGUAGGCGGUUUGUCACGUCGUCUGUGAAAUCCUAGGGCUUAACCCUGGACGUGCAGGCGAUACGGGCUGACUUGAGUACUACAGGGGAGACUGGAAUUUCUGGUGUAGCGGUGGAAUGCACAGAUAUCAGGAAGAACACCGAUGGCGAAGGCAGGUCUCUGGGUAGUAACUGACGCUGAGGAGCGAAAGCAUGGGUAGCGAACAGGAUUAGAUACCCUGGUAGUCCAUGCCGUAAACG